rnacentral:rRNA from 1 species
GAUGAACGCUAGCUACAGGCUUAACACAUGCAAGUCGAGGGGAAACGACAUCGAAAGCUUGCUUUUGGUGGGCGUCGACCGGCGCACGGGUGAGUAACGCGUAUCCAACCUGCCCACCACUUGGGGAUAACCUUGCGAAAGUAAGACUAAUACCCAAUGAUAUCCCACGAAGGCAUCCGAAUGGGAUUAAAGAUUUAUCGGUGAUGGAUGGGGAUGCGUCUGAUUAGCUUGUUGGCGGGGUAACGCCCACCAAGGCUACGAUCAGUAGGGGUUCUGAGAGGAAGGUCCCCCCACAUUGGAACUGAGACACGGUCCAAACUCCUACGGGAGGCAGCAGUGAGGAAUAUUGGUCAAUGGACGGAAGUCUGAACCAGCCAAGUAGCGUGCAGGAUGACGGCCCUAUGGGUUGUAAACUGCUUUUANGUGGGAAUAAAGUCAGGGACUGUCCCUGUUUGCAUGUACCACAGGAAUAAGGACCGGCUAAAUUCCGUG